rnacentral:rRNA from 1 species
GACAGAGGGUGCAAACGUUGUUCGGAAUUACUGGGCGUAAAGCGCGUGUAGGCUGCUCUGCAAGUCGGGUGUGAAAGCCCUGGGCUCAACCUAGGAAGUGCACUCGAAACUGCAAAGCUGGAGUCCUGGAGAGGAAGGCGGAAUUCUCGGUGUAGAGGUGAAAUUCGUAGAUAUCGAGAGGAACACCGGUGGCGAAGGCGGCCUUCUGGACAGUGACUGACGCUGAGACGCGAAAGCGUGGGGAGCAAACAGG